rnacentral:rRNA from 1 species
GACGAACGCUGGCGGCGUGCUUAACACAUGCAAGUCUAACGGAAAGGCCCUGCUUUUGUGGGGUGCUCGAGUGGCGAACGGGUGAGUAACACGUGAGUAACCUGCCCUUGACUUUGGGAUAACUUCAGGAAACUGGGGCUAAUACCGGAUAGGAGCUCCUGCUGCAUGGUGGGGGUUGGAAAGUUUCGGCGGUUGGGGAUGGACUCGCGGCUUAUCAGCUUGUUGGUGGGGUAGUGGCUUACCAAGGCUUUGACGGGUAGCCGGCCUGAGAGGGUGACCGGCCACAUUGGGACUGAGAUACGGCCCAGACUCCUACGGGAGGCAGCAGUGGGGAAUAUUGCACAAUGGGCGGAAGCCUGAUGCAGCAACGCCGCGUGCGGGAUGACGGCCUUCGGGUUGUAAACCGCUUUCGCCUGUGACGAAGCGUGAGUGACGGUAAUGGGUAAAGAAGCACCGGCUAACUACGUGCCAGCAGCCGCGGUGAUACGUAGGGUGCGAGCGUUGUCCGGAUUUAUUGGGCGUAAAGGGCUCGUAGGUGGUUGAUCGCGUCGGAAGUGUAAUCUUGGGGCUUAACCCUGAGCGUGCUUUCGAUACGGGUUGACUUGAGGAAGGUAGGGGAGAAUGGAAUUCCUGGUGGAGCGGUGGAAUGCGCAGAUAUCAGGAGGAACACCAGUGGCGAAGGCGGUUCUCUGGGCCUUUCCUGACGCUGAGGAGCGAAAGCGUGGGGAGCGAACAGGCUUAGAUACCCUGGUAGUCCACGCUGUAAACGGUGGGUACUAGAUGUGGGGUCCAUUCCACGGGUUCCGUGCCGUAGCUAACGCUUUAAGUACCCCGCCUGGGGAGUACGGCCGCAAGGCUAAAACUCAAAGGAAUUGACGGGGCCCCGCACAAGCGGCGGAGCAUGCGGAUUAAUUCGAUGCAACGCGUAGAACCUUACCUGGGUUUGACAUGGAUCGGGAGUGCUCAGAGAUGGGUGUGCCUCUUUUGGGGUCGGUUCACAGGUGGUGCAUGGCUGUCGUCAGCUCGUGUCGUGAGAUGCUGGGUUAAGUCCCGCAACGAGCGCAACCCUUGUUCACUGUUGCCAGCACGUUAUGGUGGGGACUCAGUGGAGACCGCCGGGGUCAACUCGGAGGAAGGUGGGGAUGACGUCAAGUCAUCAUGCCCCUUAUGUCCAGGGCUUCACGCAUGCUACAAUGGCUGGUACAGAGAGUGGCGAGCCUGUGAGGGUGAGCGAAUCUCGGAAAGCCGGUCUCAGUUCGGGUUGGGGUCUGCAACUCGACCUCAUGAAGUCGGAGUCGCUAGUAAUCGCAGAUCAGCAACGCUGCGGUGAAUACGUUCCCGGGGCU